rnacentral:rRNA from 1 species
CCUCUCGUACAGUGUAUUCUCGAGUAACCAAAAAAUAAGUCAAAACUUUCAACAACGGAUCUCUUGGUUCUGGCAUCGAUGAAGAACGCAGCGAAAUGCGAUAAGUAAUGUGAAUUGCAGAAUUCAGUGAAUCAUCGAAUCUUUGAACGCACAUUGCGCCCGCCAGUAUUCUGGCGGGCAUGCCUGUUCGAGCGUCAUUUCAACCAUCAAGCCCUGUCUAGGCUUGUGUUGGGGCCCUGCGGCUACCGCAGCCCCCUAAAUGCAGUGGCGGGCUCGUUGUCACUCCGAGCGCAGUAGCGUAUCUCGCUCUGGGCGUGGCGGCGGGUGCUAGCCGUGAAACACCCACUAAGGUUGACCUCGGAUCAGGUAGGAAUACCCGCUAAACUUAAGCAUAUCAAUAAGCGGAGGA